UCCGCAAAAGGUGAUGUGUUCUGAACACAGUAAAGUAAAAAGUUUACUGUUUCAAAUUUAAAUUUUAAAUUUAAAUGCAUGCUGUUGUAUCAUAUUUAGAUCCUAGUGUAGGGUUAAUAAGUAUUAAUUAAUGAGAUUAAUUAAUAAUUCUGCUGUAAAAUAAUAAUUUUGAAAAAGUUUUAAAAUUACCAUUUUGCCCAUGCACUGAAUUUUCGCUUCUAACAGUUUUGACUCAGAUUAAAUUUUUGGAUAAAUAGUUAGUUAUAGGGAGCAAGCUUCCUUUUUGUGUUUCAUGGAUUACACUUAUUACUAUGAUUGAGCUUUCGUACUUUAUUUUAUAGUCUAAGUCCCUAUAAUAUUUUGAGAUUUAUAGUAGUGUUGUAUGACCAAUUAGCCAACUAUUGUUAUUUUUUUUUUAAUUAAUUUGAAUUAGGCUUAGCCCAAUUC
rnacentral:lncRNA from 1 species